rnacentral:lncRNA from 1 species
UGAAAACCAAUCAGAAUUUCUAUCUAGCAAUGGUCUGCUCUCAAAGGACAGUCCUGCUCUGGCCAUGGUGAAGCAAUGACCAGUGAGAGGUGGUGUUGAGAACUCCUAGUCAAAGCUGCUUUCAUGAUUGGUGAGGUUUCUAAAACCUGAAGAAAUCAUGGCUACAUGGCCACCACUGGCUGGACUGUAAAAUGCCUUACCCUCCUGGUAGGACAAUGGGAAGCACCUACAAAAAGUGCAAAUGGGAAUCCUCCCACCCACAGACACAGCCCCCUCCCUAGGAAGCUCACAGUGAAGCCCCAGCCGGUCCAGCAGUAACACCAGCGAGGGGAUGAUCCACUAGGCCUGAGCGCCCUCCUCCCCAGGUUCCAGCAAAGAUGACCAGGAUGCCUUUUGUCUUUGCAAGCCACAUAGCUUCCCUAGGUUAUGCUAAAAGAAAGUUCUCUUACCUGGAAAGAAAUAAGGAAAG